UUGGGAAUGGCUGUCCUUUUGGAUGAACCAAAAAUAGUGUCAAUGAGGAAAACAUUCCAGACAGUGUAGGCAAAGGAAGAAGAAAAGCUCUCUGCCACACCUGCAGAAGAAUGGAAAUGGUAAAGGAAUAGACAUGAGACAGGAUAUGUAUUUUUUAAUUUUAAUUUAUCUAUUUACUAAUGAACCACAGUGCAGAACCUUUUAAUAGCAUGGCAUCUUUCAAAAAAUGCAUGGAAUGUGCUAUUUUUUCUAGCACCUUAGCUUUUGUGUUUAGACUGGUGAAAGAUAAACAGCAAUGCAACCUCAGAUGAGUUCAGACAAGUAGAUACAAGUAUAAUAUAGUUACAUUAUAUACCUAUUUUGUGGUAUACUGUAUAGCCUAAAUAUGUUCAAACGUGGUGUCAGUAAAUGUUGAAUGUCGAAUAACGCUUAUCCAUUUGGUACCACAUGUGAAUGGUUCCACGUGCUUACCUGUUUUUAUAUUGUUUGAAAUCCAAUGUAGAGGUUUUUCAGGAAGUGUGCUGUCAGGAAAAGUGUAGAGGCAAUAGUUGAAUUUGCAGAUUCCCUUGGCCUUCUAUUCCCUUUUGAUGCCUGGUCAUGUUUAUGAAAAAAAUAACAUGAUCAUUUUGAAAGGAGACCAGUCGUUUUUUUUGUGUUAUUAGCUGAUUUCUGGACCAUUUUUCCCCCUCACUUUUUGUAUGACCAUUGAAUUGCCUACUUGAAUGGUCAACUUAAAUAGAAACAAGAUGGAGAGCAAGGCUCUGAAAGUUGUCAACUUUUCCACUGUCAAAAUGAGUCAUGCUUUGUUUUAAUUGUUUUUAAAUACAUUUUUAAAUCAUAUUUUCGUUAUCCAUUUUUGAGAGCCUGUUUUAUCUCUAUAUUUUUGUUGGAGAUCAAGAUGUUUUCAUUAGGACAAAUGCACACUGGACUGCAGUGCUUUUGUAUCUGCUGCAGCAUUCAACCUUCCACAUUACUGUAGACUUCAGGAAGAACAUGCUUUUAGAUAUAAACAUCAAAUAAUUAGCAUAAGAUCCUCUGCUUGAAACAAUUACGGGAUGUGAAGUCUGAUUCUGUUCUCAACUUGUUGACCUGCCCUGAGGAUGUUGAACACCACUGUUACACCUUCAGCCAUUUAUUUUUUUCCUGUCAGUCGAUGGGCUGACUGACCUCAAGGCGCAGAAGGUGUUUUAAGGUAUAGGAAAUGGUCUGGUCAUCUAGUCUGGUGCAGUGGGGUGUUCCAGGUCCGCAACACUUGAGGAGAAAACUUCUUAAUCAUGAUAAGGUCCUCUGCUUGCCAUACUAGAGGGACAUAGUCUGUUUCUAUCCUCAACUUGCGGACCUGCCCUGAGGAUGUUUUACACCACUGUUGCGCCUUCAGCCAUGUUGAUUUCCGACUGGUUGUCUUUGGACUACAUGCCAUGGGCUGACUGACCUGAACCUUUACCAGAACAGAAAUACAAUGUUCAUCAGACUUUCCUCACAUUGGACUACUCUCUGAUUAGUUAUGAGGUCACAGGAAAUGGACUCAUUACUCAUAAAUCAUUGCAGCUCACUUGACUGCUUCUGACUGUGGGUAGCAGAGCUCUCUGGUGUUUCACUAUUUGAAAUUAAACAACAAAAAUGUAAAUGACCAUUGUUUUACACUUCCGACAUAUCGCAGCAGUAAGAGUAGUAUUCUACCCGACUCAUAUAAACAACAUCCUUGAGUGUUUCGUUGAUGAAUGUAUCUUUAUAAGAUUGUAUUCCUUUUUUACCUGUAAAAAACCUGUAGACAUGCAUGAUCCUGUAAAUAUUUUCAAGGAACAUAAAUCUCACUACUUGGUAUUUUUAUAUGGGGAUUGUGAGAAAUAUAUUUGUAAUGUACUUUUGUAUGUUAAUUGUAAAUCAAAAUAGUUUUCAUUGGACUAGUCCAUAAGAUUUUAGUCAGGAUUUGUUUGUCUUCACCAAAUGUUCUUAAUUAUGCAACCUUUUUUGUCCAAUUAUCUCCACGUAAUACAGCCAUCUUUUCCAUUCUUGGUUAUCUGCCUCUGUAGCCUUUAUCUAAACUUUCAUUUUUUGUAUUACUUUAUUAUUUUUAUUGCUACUGUCUUCACAUGGAGAUGUUAGUUAUGGGUUGAUGAUUCCAAUUUGGCAACAGGUGCUUGGAUAGUUGGGAUUAAAUAAGUAUUGUUACGGUAAUAAAAAUGUAAAUAUCGGUCCCACUUUAAACCAAGUACUACAUUCACAAAUCAUCUAUAAGUGUUUGUCGUACUCUAUGAAGGGUUACAUACCCAUUGCCACUGUAGAGUGAAUUGCCAAAUGUGACAUAACUCAAUAUGUAUGUUCACACACCAUUUGUAGAGUAUGACAUAUGGUUAUAGACUAUUUGUGAAGUAUUUAUGUAGUGUUUAUGAAGCCUUUAUGAAUGCUAUUUAAUGCCUUUAUAAGUUGUACUCAAAAUUAUAAAUACUAGUAUUAUUAAUAGACUUAUAUUUGUUUGGGGUGUUAAGUGAGCUAGCAAGUGUAUUAUGGCAUUUAGGUGUUAUGGAUAAUAGCUCUGGAGGAGAGGUCGAGCCAAAACAAAGUAAACACUGUUGCCUCCAGUACGAUAGGUGGCGAUAUUGCACUGUUUAUCUUGACUGCAAAACAAAGAAGCAGAUGCAAAUGUCCAAUCUGGAGUAUCAUGGGUCAUGCACUGCAUACGUGGAGUGUCUGAAAGUGGGCGUGUCAACAGAAGUGGGUGUAUGGAAAGCGAAUCAGCUAAUUGGGCAGAUUUGUUGCCACUUGACCAUUUUGUGUGUGGGCUGCACGACAAGUAGAUUGUUGAAAACCGUAGCAUUUUAGCUAACCUUAAUACCGUCAUUCUCCUAACCUGCCACGUUAAUUAUCCAAACCUGCUACGCAUUUUAGCUAAGCCUAACACCUUUCCUAACCUUAACCUCAUUCUACUAACAUGCCACGUUAAUUAUCCUAACCUGCUACCUUCUUCUUUGGGAUUUGGUUGGCGGAUCGCAUCCAACUUCGUAGUAAAUCCUCGCAAUCCCAAGUACUCCUCUGCCGCUGCCACCACAACCAGUAUUUUCUGUGACUUUCGAUCCAUUUCUGCAGUACAAUUGAGAACCAUGGCUAUAAAUGCGAAAAAGCCAACCUUACUGAAGCACAUGUUCUUCCCAUCACUCUUUCUCGGUCUCUGCCUACUCACAGGAAUCCUCUCAGGAUCCCUCACCCUGUACCCAUCUUCCACUACCAAUCUUCACUGCUUUGGCAUACAACACUUUCUGUACUACUCUAGGCCAUCAUUGUAAAUAAGAAUUGGUUCUUAACUGACUUGCCUAGUUAAAUAAAGGUUAAAUACAUAA